rnacentral:rRNA from 1 species
AGGCAGCAGUAAGGAAUAUUGGUCAAUGGACGCAAGUCUGAACCAGCUAUGCCGCGUGAAGGAUUAAGGNCCUAUGGGUUGUAAACUNCUUUUAUCUGGGACGAAAAAAGGNNUNUNNAGGNNNCUUGACGGUACCANAUGAAUAAGCACCGGCUAACUCCGUGCCAGCAGCCGCGGUAAUACGGAGGGUGCAAGCGUUAUCCGGAUUCACUGGGUUUAAAGGGUGCGUAGGCGGGCAGGUAAGUCAGUGGUGAAAUCCUGGAGCUCAACUCCAGAACUGCCAUUGAUACUNUCUGUCUUGAAUAUUGUGGAGGUAANNGGAAUAUGUCAUGUAGCGGUGAAAUGCUUAGAUAUGACAUAGAACACCCAUUGCGAAGGCAGNUUACUACGCAUAUAUUGACGCUGAGGCACGAAAGCGUGGGGAUCAAACAGGAUUAGAUACCCUGGUAGUCCACGCCCUAAACGAUGNAUACUCGACAUACGCGAUACACUGUGNGUGUCUGAGCGAAAGCAUUAAGUAUCCCACCUGGGAAGUACGUUCGCAAGAAUGAAAC